GCCUUCGUGGCUUAGUCCGGUAAACACCCGACUAUGGUGCGGGAGGAUUCGGGUUCGAGCUCCGGUGAAGGCA